rnacentral:rRNA from 1 species
GACGAACGCUGGCGGCGUGCUUAACACAUGCAAGUCGAACGGGGUCCAGUCUGUAGCAAUACAGAGGAAGACCUAGUGGCGAACGGGUGAGGAACACGUGAGGAAUCUGUCCCGAACUCUGGGAUAACAGUUGGAAACGACUGCUAAUACCGGAUGCCGUCAUUGGAUCCCAUGAUUCGAUGACGAAAGAAUUUCGGUUCGGGAGGAUCUCGCGGCCUAUCAGCUUGUUGGUGGGGUAAUGGCCUACCAAGGCAUCGACGGGUAGCUGGGCUGAGAGGAUGAUCAGCCACACUGGGACUGAGACACGGCCCAGACUCCUACGGGAGGCAGCAGUGGGGAAUCUUGCGCAAUGGGCGAAAGCCUGACGCAGCAACGCCGCGGGCGGGAAGAAGGCCUUCGGGUCGUAAACCGCUUUCAGCAGGAACGAAAAUGACGGUACCUGCAGAAGAAGGUGCGGCCAACUACGUGCCAGCAGCCGCAGUAA